UGAGGAAUUUUGGACAAUGGGGGAAACCCUGAUCCAGCGACGCCGCGUGAAGGAUGAAGGUCUUCGGAUCGUAAACUUCUUUUGCCUGGGACUAACCGCCUCAUAGAAAUAUGAGGAAUGAAUGUACCAGGCGAAUAAGCCACGGCUAACUUCGUGCCAGCAGCCGCGGUAAUACGAAGGUGGCAAGCGUUACUCGGAAUUACUAGGCGUAAAGGGCAGGUAGGUGGUUUGGUUAGUCUGUUGUGAAAGCUCCUUGCUUAACGGGGAGAGGUCAACAGAUACUGCCAGACUUGAGUAUAGGAGAGGGUACUGGAAUUCCCGGUGUAGCGGUGAAAUGCGCAGAGAUCGGGAGGAACACCAAUGGCGAAAGCAGGUACCUGGACUAUUACUGACACUCAGCUGCGAAAGCUAGGGGAGCAAACAGG
rnacentral:rRNA from 1 species